GUGGGGAAUAUUGCGCAAUGGGCGAAAGCCUGACGCAGCGACGCCGCGUGAGGGACGAAGGCCUUCGGGUUGUAAACCUCUUUCAGCAGGGACGAAGCGAAAGUGACGGUACCUGCAGAAGAAGCACCGGCCAACUACGUGCCAGCAGCCGCGGUAAUACGUAGGGUGCAAGCGUUGUCCGGAAUUAUUGGGCGUAAAGAGCUCGUAGGCGGUCUGUCGCGUCGGCUGUGAAAACCUGAGGCUCAACCUCAGGCCUGCAGUCGAUACGGGCAGACUAGAGUCCGGCAGGGGAGACUGGAAUUCCUGGUGUAGCGGUGAAAUGCGCAGAUAUCAGGAGGAACACCGGUGGCGAAGGCGGGUCUCUGGGCCGGAACUGACGCUGAGGAGCGAAAGCGUGGGGAGCGAACAGG
rnacentral:rRNA from 1 species